GAAAUGCGAUAAGUAAUGUGAAUUGCAGAAUUCAGUGAAUCAUCGAAUCUUUGAACGCACAUUGCGCCCGCCAGUAUUCUGGCGGGCAUGCCUGUUCGAGCGUCAUUACAACCCUCAGGCCCCCGGGCCUGGCGUUGGGGAUCGGCGGAAGCCCCCUGCGGGCACAACGCCGUCCCCCAAAUACAGUGGCGGUCCCGCCGCAGCUUCCAUUGCGUAGUAGCUAACACCUCGCAACUGGAGAGCGGCGCGGCCACGCCGUAAAACACCCAACUUCUGAAUGUUGACCUCGCAUCAGGUAGGAAUACCCGCUGACCUUACGC
rnacentral:misc_RNA from 1 species